GACGAACGCUGGCGGCGUGCUUAACACAUGCAAGUCGAGCGGUAAGGCCCUUUCGGGGGUACACGAGCGGCGAACGGGUGAGUAACACGUGGGUGACCUGCCCUCAGCUCUGGGAUAAGCCUGGGAAACCGGGUCUAAUACUGGAUAUGACUCCAUGACGCAUGUUGUGGGGUGGAAAGCCUUGUGCGGCUGAGGAUGGGCCCGCGGCCUAUCAGCUUGUUGGUGGGGUGANGGCCUACCAAGGCGACGACGGGUAGCCGGCCUGAGAGGGCGACCGGCCACACUGGGACUGAGACACGGCCCAGACUCCUACGGGAGGCAGCAGUAAGGAAUAUUGCGC
rnacentral:rRNA from 1 species